AUUGAACGCUAGCGGCAGGCCUAACACAUGCAAGUCGAACGAGUGGCGGACGGGUGAGUAAUGUCUGGGAAACUGCCUGAUUGCGGGGGAUAACUACUGGAAACGGUAGCUAAUACCGCAUACCAUCAGAUGUGCCCAGAUGGGAGUAGCUAGUUGGUGGGGUAACGGCUCCCAAAGGCGACGAUCCCUAGCUGGUCUGAGAGGAUGACCUGCCACACUGGAACGAUGACACGACCCAGAGUCCGACGCGAGGGAGAAGUGGGGAAAAUUGCACAAGGGGCGCAAGCCGGAUGCAGCCAUGCCGCGUGUAUGAAGAAGGCCUUCGGGUUGUAAAGUACUUUCAGCGGGGAAGCGUUACCCGCAGAAGAAGCACCGGCUAACUCCGUGCCAGCCGCCGCGGUAAUAC
rnacentral:rRNA from 1 species